rnacentral:rRNA from 1 species
UGUGGGCACGCUAAGGAGACUGCCGGUGACAAACCGGAGGAAGGUGGGGAUGACGUCAAGUCAUCAUGGCCCUUACGGCCUGGGCUACACACGUGCUACAAUGGUCGGUACAAAGGGUUGCCAAGCCGCGAGGUGGAGCUAAUCCCAUAAAACCGAUCGUAGUCCGGAUCGCAGUCUGCAACUCGACUGCGUGAAGUCGGAAUCGCUAGUAAUCGUGAAUCAGAAUGUCACGGUGAAUACGUUCCCGGGCCUU